rnacentral:rRNA from 1 species
CCCUUAGAUGUCCUGGGCCGCACGCGCGCUACGCUGACAUGUUCAACAAGCCUCCUAGUUCGACAGGAUUUGGGAAAUCUUUGAACGCAUGUCGUGAUAGGGAUAGAUCAUUGCAAUUAUUGAUCUUGAACGAGGAAUUCCUAGUAAACGCGAGUCAUCAGCUCGCAUUGAUUACGUCCCUGCCCUUUGUACACACCGCCCGUCGCACCUACCGAUUGAGUGAUCCGGUGAGGCUCUGGGACCUGGACGGAAAGAGCGUUUCGCUUGUUCUGUUUGGGAAACUUGGUCGAACCUUAUCAUUUAGAGGAAGGAGAAGUCGUAACA